rnacentral:rRNA from 1 species
AUACGUAUGUCCCGAGCGUUAUCCGGAUUUAUUGGGCGUAAAGCGAGCGCAGACGGUUAAUUAAGUCUGAUGUGAAAGCCCGGAGCUCAACUCCGGAAAGGCAUUGGAAACUGGUUAACUUGAGUGCAGUAGAGGUAAGUGGAACUCCAUGUGUAGCGGUGGAAUGCGUAGAUAUAUGGAAGAACACCAGCGGCGAAGGCGGCUUACUGGACUGUAACUGACGUUGAGGCUCGAAAGUGUGGGUAGCAAACAGGAUUAGAUACCCUGGUAGUCCACACCGUAAACGAUGAACACUAGGUGUUAGGAGGUUUCCGCCUCUUAGUGCCGAAGCUAACGCAUUAAGUGUUCCGCCUGGGGAGUACGACCGCAAGGUUGAA